AAAGCCCAAAUAUUUAUAAUUUUAUACCUGAUUCCUGAGGUGAGGUGAGCAGUUGAGACUUGAGAGAGGCGGAGAGCAGAGAAUCAGAGAGAGGCUGAGGCGGUUCAGCUGGAGACUGGAGACUGGAGACUAGAGAGAGGCGGAGAGCAGAGAGUAGAGAGAAAGGUUUCAGAACUAUGAACUGGAUUCAGCGCAAGAUCUAUCUUUACAAUGUUACUUUUGGGCUCUACAUGUUGGAUUGGUGGGAGCGUUAUCUUUUCAAUACUUUGAUCAUCAUGUUGAUGUGGUUCAUUCUUUACAACGGAUCACGAUAUGUAACUGAGUUCUGCAAGAGGCUUCUAGGGUGAGGACCUGAACUGGAAUCAACUUGAAGGAUGACAAACAAGGAUGUAUUGUGGAAGAUGUUUGGGAGAGUAGUUUGAAUUAUGUUGUUUGGAUAUUUUUUGAUAUACGUGUGAGUGAAAAAGUGUGUGAAAAUAUGUGUAAUGUUGUUUAAAAUGUGUAGUUUUGUGUUUGAGAUGGCUUGCCAAACAGGCCCUAAUGUUGCUGCAGCAUAUCCCACUCUUAUUGGAAUGGACUUGGGAGUAUCUUAAGUUGUAAAGACAACCGUGUAUGUCCUCAAUGUACUUAUUAAAAAAAAAAAAAAAAAACUAUCCUCCAUGUAUUUUACACCCUUGUCAUAAGGAUUUCAGACCA